CUAUCACUCCUACGGGAGGCAGCAGUGGGGGAAUAUUGCACAAUGGGCGCAAGCCUGAUGCAGCCCAUGCCGCGUGUAGUGUAAGAAGGCCUUCGGGUUGUAAAGUACUUUCAGCAGUGAGGAAGGUGGUAGUGUUAACUAGCACUAUCAUUUGACGUUAGCUGCAGAAGAAGCACCGGCUAACGUCCGUGCCAGCAGCCGACGGGUAAUACGGAGGGUGACGAGCGUUUAAUCGGGAAUUAACGUGGGCGUAAAGCGCAUGCAGGUGGUUUGUUAAGUCAGAUGUAGAAAGGCCCGGGGCUCAACCUCGGAAUUGCAUUUGAAACUGGCAGACUAGAGUACUGUAGAGGGGGUAGAAUUUCAGGUGUAGCGGUGAAAUGCGUAGAGAUCUGAAGGAAUACCGGUGGCGAAGGCGGCCCCCUGGACAGAUACUGACACUCAGAUGCGAAAGCGUGGGGAGCAAACAGGAUUAGAUACCCUGGUAG
rnacentral:rRNA from 1 species